CACAAACAUAUAUAUAUGUAUUACAUUUUAAUUAGUACUUAAAACUAUAGGGAGAGCCCUUCAAUAUUCAGUACAACUAUUAGGUAAUUUCCACAUGAAAAGUUGCCUCGGGAUAAAGUCUAUGCUAGUUCACCAUAUAACUGGCGUUAAUUAAUCUUCUAGUACAAACCCUAAAUUACUAAGGAUCCUUUAGUUAAACUACAGAUAGUGGAAUAAAUAAUGCUACAUUCUUUCAUGUAGGUUUGGCUGCAUUGGCUGAACUCGCAGGGAAAAUGGCAUCUGGUACUCGUAAUCUCUGUCUCUUUGAUGGUACACUUCCUCUUGAAUCACUCUCAUGUUUCCCCCCAUGGCUGCCAUCUCCUUUUGGUGCUGUUCACAAAUUCAUACUACUUACUAAGUUGUUGUUUUUCAAGUCAUUUAUUCUCCGUAAGUAAACAUAAUCUACCAAGUUAUAAUGUCAAAUAGAGAAGGAAUAACCAAUUCAGAGCCAAAAAAUAAGACAGCCUCAUGCACUAAGCUCCCUUUAUGUGCUAUCCCGGACCACAAGCACCCAUGCAAGUUUACCCUGCAUUUCUGUAAGAAACUAUUUCCAGGGCUCGAACCCAUGACCUCCUGGUCACAUGCCAGCAACUUUACUAGUUACUCCAAGGCUCCCCUUCACAUAGCCAAAAAAUACACCCCUAAAAAUGAAAUCUCUACUAUCGGAAGUAGAGAGAUGUAGCUACUACUUAUAUCUUUUUGUCACUACUAGCUUUGAUUUAUUGGCUAAUUUUCCUUGAAUAAGUAGUAGUCACAACUAUUUCAGAACGAAAGAAUUUGAAAAAUAAUAGUAGUGAUAAAAUUAUUUUUUGAUAGUUUUUCAUGUUUGAACAUGUACAGGUGGCAAGUGAACUAAAUUUCUUAUGAUGGUCGUG
rnacentral:lncRNA from 1 species